rnacentral:ncRNA from 2 species
UAAAGUCAAGGGCAAACCUGCCUAAAGGCAGGGACGCAAAACCGUAGGAUCUAAGGUGCUUAAAAGGCGCUAUGAAUAGCCUGGUUGCCAAU